CUCAUUUCAAGAGGCAGCUGUAAAUCUCUCCGAAGGCCAGCAGGCUGUGUCAGGUGCCAGACAAAGGCUUCUUGCCAAGGAAGUCAAGAAACAUGAUAAUGGGAAAGCAAGCUUGUUAGGUUCCAGAGUCACAAACAGAGGAGCAGGAGCUAUUCAGAAUCAAGAGAUCAAAGACGAGGGGACACAUAGUACUUUGCAAGGGACUCUCAAAAAGAAGAAACCCCACAACUGUAUUGACUGUAGGAAAUGUUUUGUGAGGCUAUCAGACUUGGCAAAACAUGACAAUACACAGGUGCCAAGCCUUUUCACUGCAUGGAAUGUGGGAUAAGAUUUAGUCAAUUGUCCCACCUGACUAGACAUCAGAAAAUUCACACAGGGGAAAAACCACACACAUGCACUGAAUGUGGUGCAUCAUUUGGCCAGGGAGCAUCGCUGGUUAGUCAUCAGAGAGUCCACUCUGGAGAACAGCCUUAUCAUUGUUCUAAUUGCCAACAGUACUUCAGCCAUCAGUCAGCACUUAAAGUGCAUGAACGUAUCCACAUGGGCCAGAAACCUUAUAUCUGCCUAGAAUGUGGGAAAAGAUUUGUUUCUUGUUCUACCCUCAAAAUACACAAACGGAUCCAUACAGGAGAAAAACCAUUUUCCUGUGCUGAGUGUGGGAAACGAUUGAUGCAGUGUUCUAACCUGAUUUCAUACCAACGUACACACUCUGGGGAAAAAAAGAAGAUUCAGUUAUCCAUCGGACCUCACCCGGCACCAUAAAAUUCACACGGGAGAAAAACCAUUUCCUUGUGAUGAGUGUGAGAGGAGAUUCACUAGGUUUUCAGAUAUCCUUAUACAUCGGAGAAUCCAUAUUGGGGAGCGCCGAUAUCGCUGCCUAGAAUGUGGGAGGAAAUUCCGUCAGAAAAGUGCAUUGGUAACACACCAGAGAAUCCACAUGAAAGAGACAGCAGCAGGAAAUAUCAAACAUUCACACAAAAAUAAUGAAUUGGAAAUCUGCGACACCGAAGAAAAGGCAUGCAUUCCAGAAGAAACAGGAGUAAAAUGCUUCAAAGGUGAAGGAGCUCACCUCAACUUAUCUUCCUGACUUCAGGUCCAUCCCUUUCUCAUGAUCUUCUUAGGGAAGAAAGUCUAUAGAGAAUGUGAAGAGUUCAUGUAUUGUUCCUUCAAUCACUUCUAUUCCUCCUCCAGUGCUGAUUUUUUCAGGAACAUUGCUGGACUUUGUCCCUAGUUUUAGGAUUAGCCUGGAAUAUUACUGUAGUAGAAGUUGGAAUAUUCUGCUUUGGUUUUUCUCUUGGUAUUUAGAUGUUAUCUGCAUCAAUUCAUUGGGUGUUUGGGCAAUGUUUAUUCACGCAACAAUGACUGGAAAAAGAAAUCGAGCCCUGGUUCCUUGCUUCCUUCUUAUUUUUAGUUUGAAAGGAUGAUAAGUACCCUGGUAAGAAGAAAGUUCUUGUUUCACUGAUUUUGUCAGAUAGAAAAAGGCUUUCAUAUCUGAUUUUUUCCAAAGUUGAGCCAGAGCAUAAGACUUCAGGAAAGAUCAUAUUAUUGAGGAUAAUUUGUGCCAUCAUAUUUUAUAAAAUAGAGAUAGGAAUAUGUCCAUAAAAAAUUGUAAAGUAGACAUCACAUUUCAAUUCAAAAUAAAUACGUACAGAAGAGAAAAA